UACAGAGGGGGCAAGCGUUGUUCGGAAUUACUGGGCGUAAAGGGCGCGUAGGCGGCCCGCUAAGUCGAACGUGAAAUCCCCGAGCUCAACUCGGGAACUGCGUCCGAUACUGGCAGGCUUGAAUCCGGGAGAGGGAUGCGGAAUUCCAGGUGUAGCGGUGAAAUGCGUAGAUAUCUGGAGGAACACCGGUGGCGAAGGCGGGUCUCUGGGCAGUAACUGACGCUGAGGAGCGAAAGCGUGGGGAGCGAACAGG
rnacentral:rRNA from 1 species